AGUUGGCGUAAUAAUGCCCACUGCUAAUAAUAAUUAUUUAAAAAAAUAAAAUAUUUAUUUGUAAUCGAGCUGCUAAGAUAAUAGGGAAUGAAGUUCUAAAUUUGACCCACCCGUUUCUCUCUCCUCAUAACCGCGCUUCUCUAUCAUCUAAAAAAUUAGAAACCCUACAAUCUCUCUCAUCAGCCCUUACAUCCAAUGUCCCUGAACGUCACUCACCUCACCUCCAUUAUACCGUCCUCUCCUCCAUUGCUAGAAGAUUUUAGUUAAAAGCUACUCCUUUUUCAACUUUGCCUCCACUAGAGUAAACCCUAACCCCUGAAAAACCAAGAUAAACUCCUAAAUUUGAGUACAAACCCUAACUUUCAAAUAGUCGAAACAGUUACUACUAAUUUGAACGAAAAUCCAACAUCCUUUCUUAGUUCUUUUGAAUUUUCAGUUGUUAUUUCCUUAAAUUUAGGGUAUUUUUGCCCAAUUUUCUGCGGUUUUUGUAGUUCGAAUUUUAUUGGGGUUUUUGGUCAAUUUUUUGCUCGAAAAUAAGGGGCUUUGGCUCGAAUUUGCUCGAAUAUAGGGGGGUUUUGCCGCACAUUUCCUGGGUUUUUCGAUUAGUGGUCGAACUUGUAGGCUUUGGGGUCGAAUUUCUCAAGGUAUUGCUGUUGAAAUCGCUGGUGUUUUGGGGUCGAACGGCAGCAGGGUAGCGCUGGGGAUUUUUGGGGCUUUGCUGGUUGAAUUUUUGAGGUAUUGCGAUUGAAUUUGCCAUCCCUUUCUAGAAGCUCGCUAUAGAUGUCCUCCAUGUGACAAAGUCCAGGUUAUGUCGUGGUAUAUCGAUUCGAUAAUGUUGCUUGGGAGCUCGGUAUUUAGGUGUGUGAUAAUCGUUCAACUCACAAUUGCUGGACUUAUAAGUAAAAUGCGUUUAGAGUUGAGCCAAAGCCAAGGAGUGGGCCCUUUUGAUUGGAUCACCAAAUUGUAGAGUUGGAGCAUGUGCAAAUGUGGAACCCAAGCUCCAUCAUCUCAGCCUCACUCCACCUUCAACGUUAAAAAAGAAGGGAGCUUGUUGAGGUCUCAACCAUCUAGUAUUGACUCAGUGUGGUUGGCACUUUGAUAGGUCAUUACUGCCAUCAUGUGUUGGCGGGUAUUUGCUGGUAUUUGUACUAUAAAAGCUUGGUGGUAUUUGUAUAGUAUAAUCUUGAUGAAAUUGAGAAACUUGCAUUGAUAGUUUCAGAGGUUAGUUUUUACUUAUUAGAAUGUGGGCAUAAUAUGUGAUCUGUAUUGUUUGGUACAACAGAUUUGGAUCAAUGUGGACUGUUUUCUAGAAAUUCUUUUUAUGGUCUAAUAUGAUGUGUCCAAUUGUCAUAUUUCUAUAUUUACCUUAUUAAUUAACUUUUUGUUCAUGGAAUGAGGGAUUGCUGAUAAACUGUCGCUGGAUCUUGUACCUGUUUGCAGGUUUGGCAUAUUAGAACCACUCAGAAUUUGUGACGCCUUGAACGUGUUCAUUCUAUGAGAGUUAAAAGUCUUUGUUUUUCUCGAGAUGGAAGUCAGAUAUUAAGUACAUCUAUUGACAGCACUGCCAGGUUUGGAUCUCAUGCUUGACUUACGGCAUUUGAUUCAAUUGGCUAAUAUCAUAGGAUUCAUGGUUUGAAGUCUGGGAAAUUGUUGAAGGAAUUUCGUUGGCAUACUUCUAAUGUGAAUCAUGCCAUAUUUACAAAUGACUGUAGCCGUGUGAUCAGAGCAUCUCUAGAUCUUUCAACCAGUCAAUUUUUUUUUAAUUUUUUUUUUUUGUAUAUUUUUUAAUUUGUAAUGAAUUGUAUACUUCAUUCUUUUUUUUUUU